AUGGCCAUCUUCGACGAGUUCUACGUGGGAUCCAUCAACCUGGGGCGCCUAAACUAUGGGAUCAUCUCUCUCAUUCCCAAAGUACCUGGGGCAUCGAACAUCCGUCAGUUUCGUCCGAUCACGGUCAUUAAUGUAAUCUUCCGAAUCUUGGCAAAAGGGUACGCCAAUAGGGUGACCCUUCUUGCCGAUCGCAUUACCCACCCCAACCAAUCCGCCUUCAUCCAAGGCCGAUAUAUUCUAGAUGGGGUGCUUGUCCUUCACGAAGUUCUGCAUGAGGUCCGGUCCAAACACCUCAAGGCGGUCUUUCUGAAGAUUAACUUUCAUAAGGCCUACGACACUGUUAGCUGGCCCUUCCUUCGGGAAGUUCUACUCCGGAAAGGCUUCGACGACCGUUGGAUAUCCAGAGUGAUGCAGAUGGUCUCCUGCGGUCGCGCGGCCGUGAGCAUCAAUGGGGAGAUUGGCCCUUACUUUCCCACUCUUUGUGGAGUGAGGCAAGGCGACCCGUUCUCCCCAUUCUUGUUCAAUAUGGUGGUGGAUGCGCUUGCUGCCAUCCUGGAUAAGGCGAAGGCCGCGGGCCAUAUUCAGGGGAUCACUCCCCACUUGGCCGGUGGCGCCGGGAUUUCCCUGCUCCAAUAUGCCGACGACACCAUCAUCAUGGUCAAAGGCUCGGAUGCGGACAUCGCUAAUCUGAAAUCCUUCCUCCUUUGUUUCCAACAAAUGUCUGGUCUCAAUAUCAACUUCGACAAGAGUGAUGUGAUAGUAUUGGGAUACUCCCCGGCGGAGGCCCUCGUCAUUGCCAACCGCCUCAACUGCCGUCUAGGCUCCUUCCCCACUACUUGGGCACACUCAUUAGUGACUCUCGUCUUACUGUCACGGAUUUGCGCCUGA
rnacentral:rRNA from 1 species